rnacentral:rRNA from 1 species
AACGAACGCUGGCGGCAUGCCUAACACAUACAAGUCGAACGAGACCUUCGGGUCUAGUGGCGCACGGGUGCGUAACGCGUGGGAACCUGCCCUUAGGUUCGGAAUAACUCCCCGAAAGGGGUGCUAAUACCGGAUAAUGUCUUCGGACCAAAGAUUUAUCGCCUUUGGAUGGGCCCGCGUUGGAUUAGCUAGUUGGUAGGGUAAAAGCCUACCAAGGCGACGAUCCAUAGCUGGUCUGAGAGGAUGAUCAGCCACACUGGGACUGAGACACGGCCCAGACUCCUACGGGAGGCAGCAGUGGGGAAUAUUGGACAAUGGGCGAAAGCCUGAUCCAGCAAUGCCGCGUGAGUGAUGAAGGCCUUAGGGUUGUAAAGCUCUUUUACCCGGGAUGAUAAUGACAGUACCGGGAGAAUAAGCGCCGGCUAACUCCGUG